CCAGGAAAAUGGUGCCGCGCCAUUUUCCCAGUGACUUCAGCAGCGCUGCUGCUGUGCCGCGGGACUCCGGAGGAAGCUUUUGGAUGAAAGAUCUCAUACCCACAUCUCAGUUAUUUACAUUUCAAGAUUCUGAUGAUAUAAUAUAUAUAUAAUGAAUCAUUUGUAUGAACAAUGGCCCAGAAAGUAUUCCUGGUCCUAAAACACAUAUACUGUCACUUCACCUGAAUCUGCCAUAUUCUUGUGGUCUCUUCUGCCAGGUACAGUUCUGCAUUUCACCAACAGCCUGGAUGUAAUAAUCCUCUGAGUACCUGUACAAAUGGCCGAGAAUAGAUUUUUCACCAUUUUUAAAAGUAACUUCUGAGCACUUUUUUCCAUAAUAAAAGCACGUAAAGCAAUUCCAGGAAGGUCGUUAAGAAGAAGCUACAAUGAUAUCAAUAUUAAGAUUCAUUUGCAAAAACGUGACUGUCUGCAUUGUACUGUACAGUAUGUUGUGAUAUACCCUUUAUUUUUUCAGUGAUUUAUUAUUUUAACAUAAUUAAAUUUCUACUGACAUUCUCUAA